AGCGCAGGCGGUUUCUUAAGUCUGAUGUGAAAGCCUUCGGCUCGACCGAAGAAGUGCAUCGGAAACUGGGAAACUUGAGUGCAGAAGAGGACAGUGGAACUCCAUGUGUAGCGGUGAAAUGCGUAGAUAUAUGGAAGAACACCAGUGGCGAAGGCGGCUGUCUGGUCUGUAACUGACGCUGAGGACUCGAAAGCAUGGGUAGCAAACA
rnacentral:rRNA from 1 species